rnacentral:rRNA from 1 species
GUCUACAGCCAUACCACCCUGAACGCGCCUGAUCUCGUCUCAUCUAGGAAGCUAAGCAGGGUUGGGCCUGAUUAGUACUUAGAUGGGAGACAGCGCACGGCUGCUGAAACA